rnacentral:lncRNA from 1 species
GGGAGUUCCACAGACCAACACCCCUGCUCCUGGCGGCUCCCACCCGGGACUUAGACCCUCAGGUCCCUAAUAUCCCGGAGGUGCUCUCAAUCAGAAAGGUCCUGCUCCGCUUCGCAGUGGAAUGGAACGGAUUUAGAAGCCUGCAGUAGGGGAGUGGGGAGUGGAGAGAGGGAGCCCAGAGUUACAGACGGCGGCGAGAGGCCCCAAAGAGUCUGAUGUUUACAAGACCAGAAAUGCCACGGCCGCGUCCUGGCAGAGAAAAGGCUGAAAUGGAGGACCGGCGCCUUCCUUAUAAGCUCGUUGGGGCCUAAGCCAGUACCGACCUGGUAGAAAAAGCAACCACGAAGCUAGAGAGAGAGCCAGAGGAGGGAAGAGAGCGCCAGACGAAGGUGAAAGCGAACCACGCAGAGAAAUGCAGGCAAGGGAGCAAGGCGGCAGUUCCCGGAACAAACGUGGCAGAGGGCAAGACGGGCACUCACAGACAGAGGAGUGAUUAUGCAGUGGGACCCUGCUGCAAACGGGACUUUGCACUCUAAAUAUAGACCCCAGCUUGGGACAAAAGUUGCAGUAGAAAAAUAGACAUAGGAGAACACUUAAAUAAGUGAUGCAUGUAGACACAGAAGGGGUAUUUAAAAGACAGAAAUAAUAGAAGUACAGAAGAACAGAAAAAAAAUCAGCAGAUGGAGAUUACCAUUCCCAAUGCCUGAACUUCCUCCUGCUAUUAAGAUUGCUAGAGAAUUGUGUCUUAAACAGUUCAUGAACCCAGAAGAAUGCAAUUUCAAUGUAUUUAGUACACACACAGUAUGUAUAUAAACACAACUCACAGAAUAUAUUUUCCAUACAUUGGGUAGGUAUGCACUUUGUGUAUAUAUAAUAAUGUAUUUUCCAUGCAGUUUUAAAAUGUAGAUAUAUUAAUAUCUGGAUGCAUUUUCUGUGCACUGGUUUUAUAUGCCUUAUGGAGUAUAUACUCACAUGUAGCUAAAUAGACUCAGGACUGCACAUUCCUUGUGUAGGUUGUGUGUGUGUGGUGGUUUUAUGCAUAAAUAAAGUUUUACAUGU